CUCGUAGGCGGUUUGUCGCGUCGGGAGUGAAAACACCGGGCUUAACUCGGUGCUGGCUUUCGAUACGGGCAGACUAGAGGUAUUCAGGGGAGAACGGAAUUCCUGGUGUAGCGGUGAAAUGCGCAGAUAUCAGGAGGAACACCGGUGGCGAAGGCGGUUCUCUGGGAAUGUCCUGACGCUGAGGAGCGAAAGUGUGGGGAGCGAACA
rnacentral:rRNA from 1 species